UUGAUGGUAGUGUAUUGGACUACCAUGGCAGUCACGGGUAACGGAGAAUUAGGGUUCGAUUCCGGAGAGGGAGCCUGAGAAACGGCUACCACAUCUACGGAGGGCAGCAGGCGCGAAAAUUGCCCAAUCCCGAUACGGGGAGGCAGUGGCAAGAAAUAACAACUCUCGACUAUGUUGAGAAGUGUAAUGAGGAUAAUUUACAAACCUUACCGAAAGCAAUUGGAGGGCAAGUCUGGUGCCAGCAGCCGCGGUAAUUCCAGCUCCAAUAGCGUAUAUUAAAGUUGUUGCAGUUAAAAAGCUCGUAGUUGAAGUUCUGGCUGUAUGGGCCUCUGCACUAGAUGCGAAGGUACCAGCAGCCAUCCGCUUGCAAAUACAUGUCCUUCUUUAACCGGUAGGCUGUAUGAGCAAGCAAUUUACCUUGAGAAAAACAGAGUGCACCAGGCAGGUAUAUCCGGAAUGCAUUAGCAUGGAAUAAUAGAAUAUGACUGAAGUCGAUUUAUUGGUUUGAGGCUUUAGUAAUGAUUAAUAGGAACAAUCGGGGGCAUUAGUACUUGCCAGUCAGAGGUGAAAUUCUAAGAUUUGGCAAAGACUAACUGAUGCGAAAGCGUUUGCCAAGGAUGUUUUCAUUAAUCAAGAACGAAAGUUAGGGGAUCAAAGACGAUCAGAUACCGUC
rnacentral:rRNA from 1 species